rnacentral:rRNA from 1 species
GACGAACGCUGGCGGCGUGCUUAACACAUGCAAGUCGAACGAAGUGGCGAACGGGUGAGUAACGCGUAAUCAACCUGCCCUGCAGAGGGGGACAACAGUUGGAAACGACUGCUAAUACCGCAUACUGAAGGUGGGGAUUGAGUCUGAUUAGCUAGUUGGAGGGGUAACGGGCCACCAAGGCGAUGAUCAGUAGCCGGGCCUGGGGGAUGGACGGGCAAACGGGGACGGGAACACGGCCAAAACUCUUACGGGAGGAGCCAUGGGGAAAUUUCCGACAUGGACGGAAAUCUGACGGAGCAACGCCGCGUGAGUGAUGACGGCCUUCGGGUUGGAAAGCUCUGUUAGUCAGGAAGCGGUACCGGAAUAGAAAGCAACGGCUAACUACGUGCCAGCAGCCGCGGUAAUUC